AUGGCCCUGAGUGACUUGCCCAAUUCCCAAAGCCCCCAGAAUGCCCGUGUCUCCUGCUGUGAAGCCCAAGUGGUUCAGAGCCCCGAGUCGCUGGUCACUGGGGAAGGGAAGGUCUCCACCAUGUCCUGCUCCUUCACCAGCGCUUUCCAAGCCUUCCAGUGGUACCAGCAGCUGCCUGGGCAAGGGCCGACCCAUCUGCUGACCGUGAGCUCUAAUCAGAAUGUCACUGUGGGGCGGCGGUUCAUAGGCGAGCGCCUGGAAAGUGGGAAACGCAGCUCCCUGCACAUCACUGACCCCCAGCUGGGGGACUCAGGCAGCUACCUGUGUGCGGUGGAUGCACAGUGA